rnacentral:rRNA from 1 species
CUGGUUGAUCCUGCCAGUAAUCAUAUGCUUGUCUCAAAGAUUAAGCCAUGCAUGUCUAAGUACAAACUCUAGCACAGUGAAACUGCGAAUGGCUCAUUAGAUCAGUUAUGGUUCCUUAGAUGAUACAAUCCUACUUGGAUAACUGUGGUAAUUCUAGAGCUAAUACAUGCACUAAAGCUCCGACCCUUUCUGAGGGGAAGAGCGCGUUUAUCAGUUCGAAGCCAGCCGAGCCGCAAGGCUCUCUCUUUGGUGACUCUGGAUAACUCUAGCGGAUCGCACGGCCUCGAGCCGGCGACGCAUCUAUCAAGUGUCUGCCCUAUCAGACUGUCGAUGGUAAGUGCUAUGCUUACCAUGGUGAUAACGGGUAAACGGGGAAUCAGGGUUCGAUUACGGAGAAGGAGCCUGAGAAACGGCUACCACAUCCAAGGAAGGCAGCAGGCGCGCAAAUUACCCAAUCUCGAUACGAGGAGGUAGUGACGAAAAAUAACAAUACGGGACUCUUUCGGGGCCCCGUAAUUGGAAUGAGUGUACUCUAAACGUGUGCACGAGGAUCUAUUGGAGGGCAAGUCUGGUGCCAGCAGCCGCGGUAAUUCCAGCUCCAAUAGCGUAUAUUAAAGCUGUUGUGGUUAAAAAGCUCGUAGUUGGAUCUCAGGGUCGUUCGCGUCGGUCCCUUGCUGCAAUGGCUCGGGUACUGCGCGGUGUCGUCCCCCUUGCCAGACCUCUCAAAAAGGUUGCUCUUGACUGAGUGGCCUGCUCGAGUGGCUGGAGAGUUUACUUUGAAAAAAUUAGAGUGUUCAAAGCAGGCACAGCCCGCCUGUAUAAUGGUGCAUGGAAUAAUGGAAUAGGACCCCGGAUCCUAUUUUGCUGGUUUUUGGAGCUCAGGGGUAAUGAUUAAGAGGAACAGGGCGGGGGCAUCCGUAUUACGGCGUUAGAGGUGAAAUUCUUGGAUCGUCGUAAGACGCCCUACAGCGAAAGCAUUUGCCAAGUAUGUUUUCAUUAAUCAAGAACGAAAGUCAGAGGUUCGAAGACGAUCAGAUACCGUCGUAGUUCUGACCGUAAACUAUGCCAACCGGCAGCCCGUCGGCGUUGCUCUAUUCGACUCGGCGGGAGGCCUACCCGAAAGGAAAGUCUACGGGUUCCAGGGGAAGUAUGGUUGCAAAGCUGAAACUUAAAGGAAUUGACGG